AUGAUUAAAAUUGAUUUGGCUAAGGCUUUUGAUAGAGUUGAAUGGAACUUCUUUAUGCAAGCACUCUCACUUAAAGGGUUGCAUGAUCAUUUCAUAAAUUUGGUACAUGUCUGCAUUGCAGCUCCUACAUUUUUUGUUAUCAUUAAUGGACAAUCAUAUGGUUGUUUUCAAAGCAAUAGUGGUAUCCUACAAGGUUGUCCUUUACCAUAUUUUAUUGUUCUUGCCACUAAUGAACUUUCAAUAUCCUUGCAAGAAGCCAUAUGUUUUGACCAUCUCAGGAUAACUUUGGGGCCAAGAUGUCCACCUAUUCAUUCCCUCAUGUUUGUUGAUGACCUAUUGAUUUUUGGAAAGGCCACUAAAGCGGAGGCUACCCACUUGCAUAGAAUUUUCCAAAUCUUCUGCAGCCUUUUAGGUUAG
rnacentral:rRNA from 1 species